UUGAAAAAGAUUAGACGCCCCGUUUUUUCAUAAAAUGGGUUCAAUACCCACAACCGUGUAUACCUUACCUUUGUUGCUUUGGCAGGCCGCCUCCGGGCGUCGGCUCCGGCUGACUGCGCCUGCCAGAGGACCCAAACUCUGUGUUUAGUGAUGUCUGAGUAAUAUAUAAUAUUUA
rnacentral:misc_RNA from 1 species